AUGUUUUUGUUGUCAAGUCUUGCAGCACAGGGGAUUUUUGGUGGUCAAGUGGCCAACCCAUCAGCCAAUGCCGUCAAGAUCUUCAUUGGGUGUGCUUGUGCUUUUUUUGGAAGAUGCCAGGCAAUAGCGCUGCUUCAGUAUAUUAAGGAAAGAUUUACAAAAUCUGAACAUGUAAAUUACACUCAAUCUAUGCAUGUUUGCCCAGAUUUGAAUAACUUUGAGUUUGUGACCAUCGCACUUGGUAUCUUUUCUAAUGUAUUUUUUUGUUUUGCUAGGUCAAGUAGUUCCUGUGAAAUGACUUUGGGAAUGGGGUGGUUCACCGGGAUAAUUAGUGGUAGCACCUCAUGCUGA
rnacentral:rRNA from 1 species